UACAGAGGUCUCAAGCGUUGUCCGGAUUCAUUGGGCGUAAAGGGUGCGUAGGCGGUGCGGCAAGUCGGGUGUGAAAUCUCGGAGCUUAACUCCGAAACUGCAUUCGAUACUGCCGUGCUUGAGGACUGGAGAGGAGACUGGAAUUUACGGUGUAGCGGUGAAAUGCGUAGAUAUCGUAAGGAAGACCAGUGGCGAAGGCGGGUCUCUGGGCAGUUCCUGACGCUGAGGCACGAAGGCCUGGGGAGCAAACGGG
rnacentral:rRNA from 1 species